AACUUAAAGGAAUUGACGGGGGCCCGCACAAGCGGUGGAGCAUGUGGUUUAAUUCGUUGCUACACGAAGAACCUUACCUGGGUUUGACAUAUAGGUUGUAGGGAACUGAAAAGGGACCGACCCUUCGGGGAGCCUAUACAGGUGUUGCAUGGCUGUCGUCAGCUCGUGUCGUGAGAUGUUCGGUUAAGUCCGCUAACGAGCGCAACCCUCGUCGUAUGUUAUAUGUGUCAUACGAGACUGCCGGUAAAAAGCCGGAGGAAGGUGAGGAUGAUGUCAAGUCAGCAUGACCUUUAUAUCCAGGGCUACACACACGCUACAAUGGUCUGUACAAUGGGUAGCCAAGCCGCGAGGCGGAGCCAAUCCUGAAAGCAGGCCUCAGUUCAGAUUGCAGUCUGCAACUCGACUGCAUGAAGCCGGAGUUGCUAGUAACCGCAGGUCAGCAAUACUGCGGUGAAUACGUUCCCGGGUCUU
rnacentral:rRNA from 1 species